rnacentral:lncRNA from 1 species
CGCGGACCCGCAGAGCGGAGGAAGUCAAAAUAGUAGGAGCAUUACUCUUGUUUCCUUUUUCAAAAUCCCACACCUCAUCCUUCCUGCGACGCCAUGUCCACCAACAUUUGUAGUUUCAAGGACAGGUGCGUGUCCAUCCUGUGUUGCAAAUUCUGUAAACAAGUGCUCAGCUUGCUGGCUGAUACUGAAAUAGACCUUUUCUCUACAGACAUCCCUCCUACCAACGCAGUGGACUUCACUGGAAGAUGCUAUUUCACCAAAAUCUGCAAAUGUAAACUGAAGGACAUCGCAUGUUUAAAAUGUGGGAACAUUGUAGUUUAUCAUGUGAUUGUUCCAUGUAGUUCCUGUCUUCUUUCCUGCAACAACAGAC